rnacentral:rRNA from 1 species
UACGACUACAUAUCAGGCAUAUCAAUAAGCGGAGGAAAAGAAACUAACAAGGAUUCCCUUAGUAACGGCGAGUGAAGCGGGAAGAGCUCAAAUUUGAAAUCUUCAAGGUUCUACCUCGACGAAUUGUAGUUUAAAGAAGUGUUUUCUGUUAGAUGAGUAGCAAAAGUUCCUUGGAAUGGGACAUCAUAGAGGGUGAGAAUCCCGUAUUUGGUUAUUCAUUCUAGCUUUGUGAUACACUUUCAAAGAGUCGGAUUGUUUGGGAAUGCAGUCCAAAAUGGGUGGUAAAUUUCAUCUAAAGCUAAAUAUUGGCGAGAGACCGAUAGCGAACAAGUACCGUGAGGGAAAGAUGAAAAGAACUUUGAAAAGAGAGUUAAACAGUACGUGAAAUUGUCAAAAGGGAAGCGUUUGACACCAGUGUUGUUUUUCCGAAAAUCAAUUACGAAUGGCUUGAUUUUGUGUUGUAUUGACCUUAUCAGCUUUCUUCACUUUUUUCGAGUCUUUCUUAAUGCACUUUUCGGUUAACAAGUCAACAUCAAUUUCUUUUGUUGUAAAAGAGUAUUCGGAAGGUGGCUUUCUUUUCGGAGAAAGUGUUUAUAGCCCUAUACUUCUACAAUCGGAGAGAUUGAGGUCUGCAGCGUAGAUCCUUCGGGGUUAGAUACAUUUGUGCUAAGUUAGUAGCUUUGUAUAGACAACUUGUUGACUAUAGCUUCAGUCAUGUAGGCUUACUCGCUUAUGUCAUUUUACCUACGCUUAGGAUGUUGAGUAGCGACAUACGCAC